CAGUAGGGAAUCUUCCACAAUGGAUGAAAGUCUGAUGGAGCAACGCCGCGUGACCGAUGAAGGCUUUCGGGUCGUAAAGUUCUGUUGUAAGGGAAGAACAAGUGCCGCAGGCAAUGGCGGCACCUUGACGGUACCUUGCGAGAAAGCCACGGCUAACUACGUGCCAGCAGCCGCGGUAAUACGUAGGUGGCAGGCGUUGUCCGGAAUUAUUGGGCGUAAAGCGCGCGCAGGCGGCCUCUUAAGUCUGAUGUGAAAGCCCCCGGCUCAACCGGGGAGGGCCAUUGGAAACUGAGAGGCUUGAGUAUAGGAGAGAAGAGUGGAAUUCCACGUGUAGCGGUGAAAUGCGUAGAGAUGUGGAGGAACACCAGUGGCGAAAGCGGC
rnacentral:rRNA from 1 species